rnacentral:lncRNA from 10 species
AUUACAACAGUUCCAGGUGAAGACAAUGUUGGCAAAAGGCUUCCAACCCCUCCAACUUUCUGACCUGAAGAAUGAAAGCAUUCUGUCUCUGGGAUCCUAAGAUCAGAAAUGUUGGAGGAGCUUCAAUGAGUGAGAAACUGUGUUACCUGCAAAAGAUAAAAGCAAAACAGAAUGCAUUGAUGAAGAUAAUUCAAUCAGCAUGCACAGCAUAGAAUUGUUAUAGAUUGGGUAACUUCAUCAAGACUUCUCCAUGACUGAAGGUGGUAGAUUCUGAAGGAUUGGUUACUUGCACUACAGCAAAUUUACAACCAGCAAAAUAGACUAGAAACAAGCUACUUGUUGAUGAAGAUCAUUGUCUGUUAAGACCCCAUCGCAGAGAAGUUAAAGAGCUUCAAUCACCAUGCUUUCAGGGUCAAUUUGUCUCCGAAAAGGAACAGAUGGGGAAGAAUUAUUCCAUUCACAGUUGACUUGUCAGAAAUUCCAAGAUCUUGGACUGGCUGAAAGCAAUGAUGUUGCCAUUCAUCCUUUCACGUAUUCAUUAUGGUCUACAGCUGAGAAGGGCUAUUUGGGGUUUGCUUUGCCUGAUGGUAGCAGAAGAAAACCAAGAGGCCUCUCUACGAAAGCUUGCAGUAAG